CAGUUUGUGUAGCUUGGUUUCUCAUAUUUUGAGCAGUUCUCCAUUCUUCCCACAAGUGCAGUGCCCUGUUACCAAGUUGUUGUCCUAUUUCCUUCUCUCCAUUCCAUACACAAUUAUUCCUAUUUCCUCCUAAUCAACUAAAUGAGAAAGUACAUCAAUUUACGAAAUUAAAGUGUAAUUUUCAGAAGUAAAGUUAAACAUCCAACUAUAACAUAAAAGAAACCAAAAUGUAGCCAAAAUAAUAAACUCCAAAAUCAAUAAUCUCCCAAAUAUUUUUUUUUUUUCUUUUAUAGUAAAAGCACAAAUAUAUUUUACAUGAAUAAUUUUUUUGAAGAAGUAUUUUACAUGAACCAUUCCAUCCCGAGUUCCCUGUUCUGUUAGCCAAAUGAGAAAACAUGCACAUUGAAAUUAGCUUUUUUGCAAACUUGUACACCUCACUAGCUAUGAAGCACAAACACUUCUUAGAUUAGAUAUGUGUCCCGGUGUUGGAUGCGUGGUGUCUGAUACCGACACAGCGAUACGACACCGACACUUAUGUU
rnacentral:lncRNA from 1 species